CUGGAGAUCUGAUGUGGAGAAGGGUUCCAUGUGAACAGCCUUUGCACAUGGGUCAGUCGGUCCUAAGCUGCAGGAGAAAUCCGGGUUUUGGCGAAUAGGCAUUUUAUGUUUUGUAUUCCUUUAGGAAAAUGUUUGCCUGUACAAAACCGUAGCAAGAGGGAAUCCGGUACUGAUUCCGGAACCUGGUCGCGGAUAACCCCUUUUUUUGAGGGGAUAGUUGGGGUCCUCGUGAUCUACACCGUAAGGUGGCUAAACUCGGGGAAGUCGGCUAUCGUCCCGGGCAGAGUUUUCUGUUCUGUAUAAGGGCCCGGAUCCCUGGAAUCGCCUCGCGCGGAGAGAGGGAACUGGUUUGUUUUUAGCCCGAAGAGCCCCGCAGUUCUUGCGGGGUCCGAUUGGACGGUGGUCGAACCAUGAAACAACUCGAGAGAGGGUCGUACACACUUUCGUGCCAGUCUGUCACCGCAUCAUCCGCAGCCGGUAUACAGCGGUGCACC
rnacentral:rRNA from 1 species